CUCAACCGACUGAACCACACUGGCCAGGGAGAAGCAUUUUGCUUUUUAACAUGACUUUUGUUAAACACUAUAUUAUGAGAUUAGUUAUAAUUUAACUCUGAGUUUCAGCCGGCUCUGUGCCUCUCCAGGUGAGUGGUCAAGAGGACUAGUCACAACAGAAACAGAAGGAAGAGAAUGGAUUUGAGAGGGCAUGACAGAGCUAUAAAAAAUAGAAGGAUGUGGAAUUAGAAAGAGGGUGGAGGCUUUUGAUGAUUCAAACAUCUUAGUAUGUGUCAGGCUCUUUGCUUGGAACAAAAGCCAUUCCUAUGAGUGAUGCAUCUGAAUGGCCUGAAGGCAUCUGAAUUUUCAAGAUAGGUAUUUGGGAAAGUGACAGGUCAGACAGAGGAUCCAUGGCAGCAGAUUCUAGAGGGUGAGGAGCAGGAUGAUGAGUUUCGUGUUAGCCAGGUUAUGUUUGGGGUCAUGAAAAUGUAAAUGAGGGCCAGUACACAAUUGUAAACAUGGGGAUGGAGUUUAGGAGAGAAGCCAGGGCAAGAGGUAUGCACUGUAGAGUAUACCAAUCAGCAGGAAGUUACUGACCGAGGCAGGCAUGGGGGUGAAAGCAUUGCUUCCAAGGCUGAUAGGCUAGCACAAGUGGGGUUACAGGUACUUCAAAAAUUGGGGCAUGAUACAUAAUUGGUGAAAAAAAAAGGAGAAGAGUUAAAACAACUUGACCAGUGAAUAUAGUACAAACAAGUCAUUUAAACUUGGAGGAGGGUCCACCUGAGAUCUUACUUUUUGAGAUAUAAAUUUCCCUAAUUCUAUCGGUCAUGACAGAGAGACCACGGGAAGACACCCCGCUCCAUGAUGUGACUGCUGCCUGACCUGCCUCACUGCCGCGGACCUUCGCACUAGAUCAGCUAGAUCUGAGCCAGAGCAGAGGUUGCUUCCCAUAAACCUCUCAGAGACUGUCUGACCUCCGUCCUGUGCCCCAAGCAAGCUGGUUCCUGGAACAGGCUCUUGCCCAGCCCCUGUGUACCAUGACCUUCAAUCUUCUAUGGCACCUGGAGUCCAGCAGCAAUCUCCACAGUGCUGCACAGGUGGUCCGCAGGGUGAAAACGACAAGUGUGAGAACAUCUGCUUAGAAUACUGUUUUCUUAAAAGAAAG